rfam:Picea glauca, whole genome shotgun sequence.
GCAGGGAUAGCUCAGUUGGGAGAGCAUCAGACUGAAGAUCUGAAGGUUGUGUGUUCGAUCCACGCUCACCGCA